GCCCAUGGCUGUGCCACGCAGCACACACCUCAUCUUGUCCCAUCUCAGAAACGAAACAAUCCCGGGUUUGGUUUGGACUUGACUGGGAGACUGCCUGCCUGGAAAUCCCAGAUGCUGUAGGCA
ensembl:rRNA 5S_rRNA 5S ribosomal RNA